rfam:Wuchereria bancrofti cont1.1893, whole genome shotgun sequence.
GAGGCUGCUGAGGUAGUUUAUAAAGCUGCGAGAGCAGAUCUAACUCGCAGAUUUUAAGCUAUCUCCACUGCCUU